rnacentral:rRNA from 1 species
CCUACGGGUGGCAGCAGUGGGGGAUAUUGCACAAUGGGGGAAACCCUGAUGCAGCGACGCCGCGUGUGGGAAGACGGUCCUUUGGAUUGUAAACCACUGUCCCCAGGGACGAAGAUGACGGCACCUGGGGAGGAAGCUCCGGCUAACUACGUGCCAGCAGCCGCGGUAAUACGUAGGGAGCGAGCGUUGUCCGGAAUUACUGGGUGUAAAGGGAGAGUGGGCGGGACUGCAAGUUGGGUGUAAAAUCUACCGGCGCAACCGGUAGCCGCACUCAAAACUGCAGUUCUUGAGUGAAGUAGAGGCAGGCGGAAUUCCUAGUGUAGCGGUGAAAUGCGUAGAUAUUAGGAGGAACACCAGUGGCGAAGGCAGCUUACCAAGCUACUUCUGACGUUGAGGCACGAAAGCGUGGGGAGCAAACAGGAUUAGAUACCCUAGUAGUC